CCUACGGGGGGCAGCAGUGGGGAAUAUUGGGCAAUGGGCGCAAGCCUGACCCAGCAACGCCGCGUGAAGGAAGACGGCUCUCGGGUUGUAAACUUCCUUUAAGAGGGAAGAGCAGAAGACGGUACCUCUUGAAUAAGCCACGGCUAACUACGUGCCAGCAGCCGCGGUAAUACGUAGGUGGCAAGCGUUGUCCGGAUUUACUGGGUGUAAAGGGCGUGUUUCCGGGCUGACAAGUCAGAUGUGAAAUUCCGGGGCUCAACCCCGGACCUGCAUUUGAAACUGUUGGUCUUGAGUAACGGAGAGGCAGGCGGAAUGCGUAGUGUAGCGGUGAAAUGCGUAGAUAUUAGGAAGAACACCGGUGGCGAAGGCAGCCUGCUGGACGACAACUGACGGUGAGGCGCGAAAGCGUGGGGAGCGAACAGGAUUAGAUACCCUGGUAGUC
rnacentral:rRNA from 1 species